GACGAACGCUGGCGGCGUGCUUAACACAUGCAAGUCGAACGAUGAACCCGGAGCUUGCUCCGGUGGAUUAGUGGCGAACGGGUGAGUAACACGUGAGUAACCUGCCCUUGACUCUGGGAUAACUGCGGGAAACUGUAGCUAAUACCGGAUACGACCCUCGGCGGCAUCGCCAGGGGGUGGAAAGAAUUUCGGUCAAGGAUGGACUCGCGGCCUAUCAGCUAGUUGGUGAGGUAACGGCUCACCAAGGCGACGACGGGUAGCCGGCCUGAGAGGGUGGCGAGGCACAAGGGGACUGGGAAAGGGACCAGACUCCUACGGGAGGCAGCAGUGGGGAAGAUUGCACAAUGGGCGCAAGGCUGAUGCAGCAACGGCGCGUGAGGGAUGAAGGCCUUCGGGUUGUAAAUCUCUUUUAGUAGGGAAGAAGCGAAAGUGACGGUACCUGCAGAAAAAGCACCGGCUAACUACGUGCCAGCCGCCGCCGUAA
rnacentral:rRNA from 1 species